rnacentral:tRNA from 1 species
UUUUAUCUGUGCAAUUCAGUUUAAUUUGAUGAUUAGAAUCUUACUUUUAUUAUUAUUUUUCUUUU